CCACUGGCCAAUAUUUAUCCACAAUUCUAUGUUAUUAUCCACGAUAAGGCCCAAAAUAUGAUUAAACACCUUCCAAACCAACGAUCAAUGUUGCCCACUGGCAAAUAUUUGUCCACGAUUCUAUGUUAAUAUACACGAUAAAUCCAAAAUCUCUUUAAAACCAACGAUUAAGGUUGCCCUCUGGCAAAUUAUACUUGUCCACAAUAAGAAAAUGUUUACAAGGAACAAAUCAUAUUUCCCAAUUACUCUCCGGCGUAUACAUUGUCCACGAAUACGGGUCGACAGUUUACUUUCGUUUUGAAAUAAACAAUACAAUUUCCACCCAAAAACUUUCGCCAAUUGACCGGUUUCCCGCCUGAGCCCCCAGAUGUCACGGAAUUCUUGAGAAACCGGUCUUGGUCACGUUACAGGACUACUACUCUACGACGUACUUUUAUAAAUUUUAAUAAAUAACGGAAAAAUAUAAACUUUUAUGUUAAGUCAGCCAUCUUGGUUCUUCCCCAAUCAAAAUGUCCUUCCCCCCUGCAGAGCUACACAGCUCCCCCUAGCGUUAGUUUUCAAUUGAAACUAAAGAUUUGUGACAUCGGACA